CCUACGGGAGGCAGCAGUGGGGAAUAUUGCACAAUGGGCGCAAGCCUGAACCAGCCACGUAGCGUGAAGGAUGACUGCUCUACGGGUUGUAAACUUCUUUUAUAAAGGAAUAAAGUGAGGCACGUGAGUCUUCUUGAUUGGACUUUAUGAACUAGGAUAGUCUAACUCCGUGCCAGCAGCCCCGGUAAUACGGAGGAUCCGAGGGUUGUCCGGAUUUAUUGGGUUUAAAGGGAGCGUAGAUGGGUUGUUAAGUCAGUUGUGAAAGUUUGCGGCUCAACCGUAAAAUUGCAAUUGAUACUGGCAGCCUUGAGUACAGAUGAGGUAGGCGGAAUUCGUGGUGUAGCGGUGAAAUGCUUAGAUAUCACGAAGAACUCCGAUUGCGAAGGCAGCUUACUAAACUGCCACUGACAUUGAUGCUCGAAAGUGUGGGUAUCAAACAGGAUUAGAUACCCUAGUAGUC
rnacentral:rRNA from 1 species